rnacentral:misc_RNA from 1 species
GCCUAGCUUAGUGUUGGGAGCCUACUGUAUUGUAGCUCCCCAAAUCCAACGGCGGAUCUGUGGUAUCCUCUGAGCGUAGUAAUUUUUAUCUCGCUUUUGUCAGGUGCCGCAGCUCUCAGCCGCUAAACCCCCAAUUUUUUUAAUGGUUGACCUCGGAUCAG